GUCACGAGGGUCUCCGCUCUGUCACCUCGCGCCGCAUCCUGAAACGUCGCUUUCUUCCCUAAAAAAAAUGUCGCUCUCUCCUUCCUCCAUCGCCUCCAGCUCCAGUGCUCCCUCCGCCAUCGCCUCCAGUGCUCCCGCCGCCAUCGCCGGCGCACGGCACUGACCGGAAAACACGCUCUCAGCUAGGCGCCAGCACCGCCGCCGCUUCCAGGUUCGGAGCGCGCUUGACCUGCAGCCAGCCUCCAUUGCCCCGGCCAGGUCGCAGGUGUAGCUCCAAGAACAUGUGUUCUGUGGCGUGUAUUGAUGGCCAAUAGCGAGUACGAGUAUGUGAAGAGGGAAUUCGAGUUCGACCAUCACCUCCCGGCCUCCAACUGGAUCAUUGUCUGCUUAGAUGGCUGUCAUUUCCACCGUUUUGUUUUCAGAGAGGGAACAGAAUUCUGUCAAAGACUUCUCUACCAAUAAUUGCAGCAAAAUUCUCUCUUUGUGUGUUUCUUACAUCACACCUGUGUAUGUGAUGAAGUUGAAAGAUUUCUUUCCAAAUAAAGAGUUGAGAGAGGCUCCAUAUUUUGAUGGGCGAGUUGUAUGCUAUCCAAAUAUGAAGACCAUUCGUGAUUAUUUGGCAUGGAGGCAACUGGACUGUCAUAGAAAUAAUCAUUAAAAUACAUGCUUCUGGACAUUAGUGAUAUCUGAAAAAACUGAAAAAGAGGCACAACAAGCAUUGAAGGUAGAAACAACGCUGAAAAUUGACGAUUAUGGGAAUCUUAUAAAAAGAACCCGGUUGGCAAUUACAGUGUCAAUUUUUGAUAUCAUAGGACAUGAGUUUCGAGAAAAACAUCAAAACAUUCUUCGAGAAGGUCACAACAGGAUCCAGUACAAGACAUGCUUUUGGAUGCUAGUGAAGUCCAGAAAGGGCGAAAACGAAGCUUACGAUAUGCUGAAGGUCAAAGGACAAGAACGAGUUGCUCUUUCAGCCGUUUGAAAUGAACUAUAACAACGAACCGGCCAUGUACUGAAAGGGCUCAUGUGCUUACCGUGAAAAAGGUAUGUUUACCAUCAUCCAGGAACUAUUUUCAACAACAAUGCUGUUUGCGCUGCAGUUUCAUAUUAAGCAUUCCAAAAUAAAAUGUAGCGAUGCUGAAGAAACAAGAUUUACUUUGCCUAAUAAAAGAUUAAAGUUUUUUUUCCAACCCUGUAUGUAUUACGAUGAUGGGCUGUGCGGGGCGGCUUAUGGCUGUGCGGGGCGAGUAGGUGGCGGCUCAGGGCAUGGUAAUGCAGUGUCGGCGGUUGGCGGUGGCCCGCGGUGCAUCUUCUCCUUCCGCAGCGUCCGGGAAGACGAGGGGAUCCGGCAGUCUGCUGGGUACCCUGCUUAGCACCCCAGGCACAGCCCGCGUGCGUCGCUGCUGGAGGUAGUCACCCCCCGGCGUCGCUGCUGGAGCUAGUCACCCCCCGUCUUGCUUCCUGGCAUCUUUGCGUGGGCGCUGUGUCCGGUCCUUGGUCCCGUGCACCCACCUCGCCCGGAGUGGAGGGAGUCCUGCGGGUACCAGAUGUGCGUAGCAGCAGCCUUGUGUUCGCCACCGAUUGCGUGCACCAGCUCAUCCCCACCCACGCCUGCUUCGUGUCUCUCCCGCGUCGACAUGUUAUCCGUUCCAUAACCUCCAGAUGCCUCUGAAAAUAUGGCAUUCUAUCGGUUCCUCGUCGACGCGCUGCUCUCGUGGUCCUCGAAGCGCCAGCCCACGGCGUCCCGCUCCAGCGUGGAGGCAGAGUACCGUAGCGUGGCCAACACCGGGCCGAGUGUGUCUAGCUUCGACAACUCCUCGGCAAGCUCUGCUGCGCGGUCACCACUGCAACGCUGCCAUGCUGGUCUACUGCGACAACAUCUUUGCCGUGUACCUAUCCAGCAAUCUCGUUCACCACCACGGCACCAAGCAUGUCGAGCUGGACAUCCACUUAGCGGAUGACUGCAGGUGGACGAUGCUGCGAGUGGGCGGUGGCGCACGUCGACAUGAGGCCAGAGUUUUGGAGAACGCAUCGUCGUGGUCGUGGCUUUGUUAGCAGGUCGCAGGAACAGGUGAUGACUAAGUAGGAGUAGUUCUCAUCAUUGUCUCAAAGAAAACGUGACGGUUUAUUACGGCUGGAUAAUACAGCAAGGUCCGGCGUUCGAUCUC